rnacentral:lncRNA from 1 species
AUGCACAAGCACGUACAGGUUCACACUUGCACACACAUGCACAGGCAGACACAGGUGCACACACAUGCACAGGCACACAUAGGUUCACACAUGCACACACAUGCACAGGCAUGUACAGGUUCACACGUGCACACAUACACAGGCACACACAUGUGCACACACAUGCACAGGCACAUCCAGGUUCACACGUGCACACACAUGCACAGGCACACACAGGUUCACAUGUGCACACACAUGCACAGGCACGCACAGGUUCACAUGUGCACACACAUGCACAGGCAUGUACAGGUUCACACAUGCACACAUGCACAGGCACACACAUGUGCACACACAUGCACAGGCACACACAGGUUCACACAUACACACACAUGCACAGGCACACAUGUGCACACACAUGCACAGGCACGCAGAGGUUCACACGUGCACACACAUGCACAGGCACGUACGGUUCACACGUACACACAUAUGCACAGGCAGACACAGGUGCACACACAUGCACAGGCAUGUACAGGUUCACAUGUGCACACACAUACACAGGCACGCACAGGUUCGCACGUGCACACACAUGCACAGGCAUGUACAGGUUCACACAUGCACACACAUGCACCGUCACACACAGGUUCACACAUGCACACACAUGCACAGGCACGUACAGGUUCACACUUGCACACACAUGCACAGGCAGACACAGGUGCACACACAUGCACAGGCACGCACAGGUUCGCACGUGCACACACAUACACACACAUGCCCAGGUGCACAGGUGCACAUACAUGCAGAGACACACACACACGCACAUGCUUGUGCACACGUCCCCUCCUGCUCCACAUGUCCUGGGGCCUCUACAGGCCAGUCUGGGUGGCCACAAAUGGGACUAAUUUCUGUUUGAGGUUAAUGUUCACGGCUUUGAUCCUGGGCUGGCCAGCCCGUCCCUCUGCCUUGUCCUCUACAUCUCUGUUUCUUCUUGGAGACAAGCUGUCCUGCGGGCCAGGCAGUUGUGCGUCGCAGCCGUUUCUGGGCCGAGGAGAGGCAGACCCAGGGCGGCCUCCUCAUUCAGCUGUCGGCUUCAGCCAGACGUGCUGCCGAGUUAAGUGUCUCCGACUCCCUCUGCGGCUCAGCCGGAAAGGCCUCUCGGAGCGGCAGCCGGGGGGGGGGGGGUGGCCGGAAUCCCUGAUGCAGCGGGUGACGGGGAAGUGA